GUAGAUAUCAUGCAUUAUAUACAUCUAUGUACUUUAGAUAUAAUAUAUGAUAGCUUUUUAGGUCGUGAUCUUGAUUUGCAGAACAAUCCCGAAUGCAAACUUGAUGAAUAUAUGUCAGAGUAAUAAAAUAAAAAGAAUAUUUUAAUAUU
rnacentral:lncRNA from 1 species